rnacentral:rRNA from 1 species
AACGAACGCUGGCGGCAUGCCUAACACAUGCAAGUCGAACGCCUGUAGCAAUACAGGAGUGGCGCACGGGUGAGUAACGCGUGGGAACCUGCCCUGGAGUGGGGGAGUAACCGAGAGAAAUUUACGGCUAAUACCGCAUACGUCCUGAGGGAGAAAGAUUUAUCGCUCUAGGAGGGGCCCGCGUCGGAUUAGCUAGUUGGUAAGGUAAUGGCUUACCAAGGCAACGAUCUGAGCCGGCCUGAGAGGGCGGUCGGCCACACUGACACUGAAUAACGGGUCAGACUCCUACGGGAGGCAGCAGUCGGGAAUUUUGGGCAAUGGGCGCAAGCCUGACCCAGCAACGCCGCGUGAAGGAUGAAGUAUUUCGGUAUGUAAACUUCACAAGAAUGGGAAGAAUAAGU